AGUGAACGCUGGCGGUAGGCCUAACACAUGCAAGUCGAGCGGCAGCACAGUAAGAGCUUGCUCUUACGGGUGGCGAGUGGCGGACGGGUGAGGAAUACAUCGGAAUCUACUUUUUCGUGGGGGAUAACGUAGGGAAACUUACGCUAAUACCGCAUACGACCUACGGGUGAAAGCAGGGGAUCUUCGGACCUUGCGCGAUUGAAUGAGCCGAUGUCGGAUUAGCUAGUUGGCGGGGUAAAGGCCCACCAAGGCGACGAUCCGUAGCUGGUCUGAGAGGAUGAUCAGCCACACUGGAACUGAGACACGGUCCAGACUCCUACGGGAGGCAGCAGUGGGGAAUAUUGGACAAUGGGCGCAAGCCUGAUCCAGCCAUACCGCGUGGGUGAAGAAGGCCUUCGGGUUGUAAAGCCCUUUUGUUGGGAAAGAAGAGCAGCAGGUUAAUACCCCGCUGUUCUGACGGUACCCAAAGAAUAAGCACCGGCUAACUUCGUG
rnacentral:rRNA from 1 species